CGCACGGUGAGUAACACGUAGGUAAUGUGCCUUUGGGUGGGGAAUAACUUAGGGAAACUUAAGCUAAUACCGCAUAAUGCGAUAACUUCUUCGGAAGAUUUUGUUAAAGAUUUAUCGCCUGAAGAGCAGCCUGCGGCAGAUUAGCUAGUUGGUAAGGUAACGGCUUACCAAGGCUACGAUCUGUAUCCGACCUGAGAGGGUGGUCGGACACACUGACACUGAAUAACGGGUCAG
rnacentral:rRNA from 1 species